rnacentral:rRNA from 1 species
GACGAACGCUGGCGGCGUGCUUAACACAUGCAAGUCGAACGAAGUGGCGAACGGGUGAGUCACGCGUACUCAACCUGCCCUUCAGAGGGUGACAACAGUUGGAAACGCCUGCUAAUACCGCAUACUUUAGGAGGGGAUUGCGUCUGAUUAGCUAGUUGGCGGGGUAACGGCCCACCAAGGCGAUGAUCAGUAGCCGGGUUGAGAGGAUGAACGGCCACAUUGGGACUGGGACACGGCCCAGACUCCUACGGGAGGCAGCAGGGGGGAAUCUUCCGCAAUGGACGAAAGUCUGACGGAGCAACGCCGCGUGGAUGAAGAAGGCCUUCGGGUUGUAAAGCUCUGUUAAUCGGGACGCGGUACCGGAAUAGAAAGCCACGGCUAACUACGUGCCAGCAGCCGCGGUAAUUC